rnacentral:sRNA from 1 species
AAAGCCCAUUUGCCGGCCUCGUCCUUGACGAUAGGAAACGGCAGUGGCCAGAGCCGGUCGCCGAUGACGAUGAUCUUGCGACCGUCAAGGUCGCGCAC